rnacentral:rRNA from 1 species
AGUGAACGCUGGCGGUAGGCCUAACACAUGCAAGUCGAACGGCAGCACAGUAAGCGCUUGCUCUUACGGGUGGCGAGUGGCGGACGGGUGAGGAAUACAUCGUAAUCUACUUUUUCGUGGGGGAUAACGUCGGGAAACUUACGCUAAUACCGCAUACGCCCUACGGGUGGAAGCAGGGGAUCUUCGGACCUUGCGCGAUUGAAUGAGCCGAUGUCGGAUUCGCUCGUUGGCGGGGUAAAGGCCCACCAAGGCGACGAUCCGUAGCUGGUCUGAGAGGAGGAUCAGCCACACUGGAACUGAGACACGGUCCAGACGCCUACGGGAGGAAGCAGUGGGGAAUAUUGGGGAAUGGGGGCAAGCCUGAUCCAGCAAUACCGCGUGGGUGGAGAAGGCCUUCGGGUUGUAAAGCCCUUUUGUUGGGAAAGAAAAGCAGCAGGUUAAUACCCCGCUGUGCUGACGGUACCCAAAGAAUAAGCACCGGCUAACUUCGUG